UUUGAUUAGAUUCCCAGUUGAAAAUAUUUAUGUGGUUAUGACAGAUGGUGCUUCUCAUGCUGUGGUUAUGACAUAGCAAAGUUCAGUGAAGGGGGGUAUUUUGGAGAAUGGACACUUCUUGGUGAAUACGUUGAUUCUUUACAUAUUGUUGCUUUAGGUGAUGUAGUUUGUGUAGUUUUAACAAAGGAAAAGUUUGAAUUGAUUAUUAGCCCUGUGUCAUAGACCUUACAAGAUGGGUACAGGUAAGAAAUCCCACAAUAACCAAAAAAAGGUACUGCCAAGUUUCUAAUUCUUUAUUAAUCAAUUGUUCAGGUCAGUAUGCAGUUUGACUUAAUUGCUCUUGUCAUAGUGAAUUACGCAAUCGUAACUCAGAACGACUUAAUGUUUUUGAUUUAUAACUUAUUUGUUGCAUUAGUGAUGGUUUUCCAGAAUUGAUUGUUGUGUAUGCAAUGUCUAUUUCAUCGCUGAAUUCGUGUUAAUAAAUUGUGUAUAUGCUAUUUAGCCAAAGAUGGUGAUUAGCCACAAGGCAAGGAUGGGAGAUCUGGUGCUACGGGAUCUCUAUGCUCCGAUGAUAGACUCAGGGCUGAGGAGAAUGGUGUAAAUGAUUUCCUUCCUCUUGGAAACUAAGAGAAAGUUGUAAAAGAAAUUGAUGAUCAGCCACUUCCACUUGUUGAUGGGAUUGAAGAUCAACUUGUGGAGUUUUCGAUAGCCAUGAGAAGUAUGAUUGCUUUCAUUCGGGUGAAAUAAAAGUAGGAUGCUUUUGUUAAUAAUAAGGUCCAACAUUUGCUAAGAAUCUUGGAAACUUUGAGCAAAAAGUAGGAGGCUCGGGAUCCUUGAAACACUAUCCAAUUGAGCUUGAAAAUGGUGAAAAAUCUCAGAGGUGUUGUGGAGAAAAUGGGAUUUGC